GGCCGGUUAGCUCAGUCAGUUGAGCGUGACGCUAACAACGCCAAGGUCGCGGGUUUGAUUCCCAUUCUGUCCC
rfam:Apaloderma vittatum contig57137, whole genome shotgun sequence.